ensembl:lncRNA
AUGGCAAGACGCGGCACAGAUGAAGAUGGAUGGUCCAGAGGACACAUUGAGAAGCUGAGAUUUAUGGUACUUGGAGGUGAUGAUGCUCUUAUGGAUAAAGCAUGUGGUACAAUCCUGGGAGAAAGAGAGAACAGGAAUACAUUUAAAUUUGGAGAAUUGAAGCCCAGGGAGGCUCAAGUUUGUGGACGACAGGUUUCUGUAUUAAAAACUCCAUCCUAUUGGCUGGAACACUUGAAAUCAUACCUGUUUUUCAGCAAUGGAGUUAAUUCUCUGAAAUAUGAACUGAAUUUCUUUGAAUCACUGUUGUUUCCUGGGCCUCAUGCUUUUCUCUUAGUACAUCAAGAUGUGAAAACAACUGGUAGAGAGAAUUACCUUUUACAAGCUCUCAUUGAUGUGUUUGGGGAGGAGGUCUUGGACUAUUGCAUGGUAUUAUUUAUAGAUAAGGCUUGGCACAAUGAUCGAAAUCAGAACUACUGUUCGAUGAGGUGUGGAGGCAGAUACCAGAUUUUACAGAACACUGACGAAAGUGUUCAUCAGUUAUUUAACAAAACAAAGACAAUGACACAGUGCAAAAGCAGCAGUUUUUUCAUAAAACAUUUUGACUAUUUCAAAAAAGCUGAAAAAUAUUUUAAAGCUGAGCAUGAAGCAAAGAAGAAUAAACUAAGCAGAGAAUUGGAAGAAAAUAAAGAAAGUGCUGAAAAUCUAAAGAAGGAAAUGAAUGACAUGAAAGAACUGCAUGCAAAGAAAGUGCUAGAACUUAAUGAGAGAAUCGAAGAAGAUCGGAAGAAAUUGUUUGAGUCCAAAGACAGGGACAAUCAGCUACACAAUGACUUGGAUGCUCUCAAAAGCAGAGAAAACCAGAUGAUGGAGGACUUCCAGAAGCUAAAUGAAGAGCUGAUCACUUACAAAAACAGAGCGAAUGAGUUAAGCAAUGAGUUGGAUGCUCUCAAAAGCAGUAAAAACCAAACCAAGGAGGACUUCCAGAAACUAAAAAAAGAGCUGGUCAUUUACAAAACCAGAGCGAAUGAGUUAAGCGAUGAGUUGGAUGCUCUCAAAAGCAGUAAAAACCAAACCAAGGAGGACUUUCAGAAGCUUAAUGAAGAGCUGAUCAUUUACAAAGACAGAGAGAAUCUGUUACUCAUUGAAUUAGAUGCUCUCAAAAGCGGUGAAAAUCAGAUGAUGGAGGACUUCCAGAAACUAAAAAGAGAGCUGAUCAUUUACAAAGAAAGAGAGAGGCACUUAAAAGAUGACAAAGAGAAACUUCAGAGAGAAGUGGAACAGCUCAAGGACAAUGAAAACAAACACAAAGUAAUCUGACUGAAGCAAAAGUUUAAAAAAAAUUACUUUCCAAAUUUCAAUCAGAAUAUAAUGUAAUCCAGAGAGAAGAAGAAGUCAAAGAAAAAGAGAGAGCCGGAUAGAAGAAUCAAGGAACUGGAUGACAGACAGAGAAAUCUGGAUGAAUGAGACUUAUGAGAGAAGCAGCUGGAGAUCAGAGAGAGAGAAGUGAAACAGAGAGAUGCGCGAUCCAGUGAAAAUUAUCAGACCACAGCCGCUACUCCUUAAGUAUUUUUAUUGUCUGUUAUCUGACAUUACAAAGAGAAAAUGUUUGCAAAUUCAUUUAAAUUCUGCUUAAAAUAGUUUUCAAAAAUAGCUUCCAAUUGUUUAAUUGUUUUUCAUGAGUUGAUCCUUGAUUUAAUCUAAAUGAUUCAGUUGACUUUAAUAUUGUAAGUUUUGUAUAUUCUAAAUAAAGAGAAAAAACUGAGCCA